UGGUGUGUGGUGUGAAAUGAACGAAAGAUAGACUUUUUCCAGCAGCCAAAUAGGCAAGAGGCUACAUGAUUCCAUGGACAUAACAAAGUUAUGGGCAUGGCCGAGAAGCCAAAAGGCCCGAUUCGUGUGGGAUUUUAUGACAUCGAGCGCACAAUAGGAAAAGGGAAUUUUGCUGUCGUAAAGCUAGCGAGACAUCGAAUAACCAAGACAGAGGUAGCUAUCAAAAUCAUAGAUAAGACUCAUCUAGAUGAAGUAAACUUGGAGAAAGUUUAUAGAGAAGUUCAAAUAAUGAAACAUCUUUCCCAUCCUAAUAUCAUCAAGCUUUAUCAGGUGAUGGAAACGAAGAACAUGGUGUAUUUAGUAUCAGAAUAUGCUAGUAAAGGGGAAAUAUUUGAGUUUAUUGCUCGUCAUGGUCGGAUGCCAGAGGCAGUGGCUCAGAAGAAAUUUUCUCAAAUCGUGUCUGCUGUACAAUACUGCCAUAAUCAAUGCAUUGUACAUCGAGAUCUAAAGGCGGAAAACCUUUUACUGGAUGACAACAUGAACAUCAAAAUAGCAGAUUUUGGUUUCAGCAAUUAUUACUCAUUGGAUAACCUCCUGACCACAUGGUGCGGGAGUCCUCCAUACGCAGCACCAGAGGUAUUUGAAGGCAAGAAAUAUGUGGGUCCCGAGAUCGAUGUUUGGAGUUUAGGCGUGGUACUUUACGUGAUGGUGUGUGGAACCCUACCUUUUGACGGAAGUAGUCUUCAAGUCCUUCGGGAGCGUGUUUUAUCUGGACGCUUUCGCAUUCCAUACUUCAUGUCUUCGGAAUGUGAAAACAUAAUUCGUCGGAUGCUAGUGUUAGACCCAAGCAAACGGUUCACUAUAGAAUACAUCAAGCAACAUAAGUGGAUGCAGGUUGAACGUGGGAACUCUUUGCCCCUUCCACUACAUCUUGGUUCUUUUUAUAGUGAUAGGGAAGCGGCCAAGGUUGGAGAAUUCAACGAGAAAAUUCUGAGGUUAAUGGAGAGUCUAGGCAUCGAUACGACUAAAACUAGAGAGUCUUUAGUGAAUGAGAAGUAUGACCAUCACGCUGCCAUCUACUUCCUUUUAUUGGAUCGUCUUCGGCAACAUCGGGCAACUGUUUCAGCUGCUAUACUGAAACAACCAGCUGACAUUUGCGACCUGCGCAGACCUAGCACCAUAGCUGAGCAAGCAAUGAGAAAAUUAGAUUCGCCAUUGCCAGUUUAUAAUCUUUAUCCUCAGUCAGUAUGUCCAUCAUCCGGGUCACCUACGUCACAAGCGGAUGCUGUGGAUUAUCAGUCUGAGUCGCGUCCAUACAUUGGUGCUUUGAGGCAUCAUGUGUUUAGUAAAACAACAGACGGAACGACGACAUUUGGUGGGCCUUUUAUUGGGCAUGCGUAUCGAAUUAGCAAGAAAGAGAUUGGUCAACUUUUACCUCUUUCAGUCCAUUCUAAACCUGAAGCUUAUCAAAUCCCUAAAGUAUUUCGCAGUCAAACUGGUAGUCCCAUGUCCAAAGUAACCGAGUCAUUAGAUGAAGGAUUGGAGGCUGAUUUUAGCGAAGGAUCUAGAGACUCCAAGACCCCACCCUUAGUUACACGAAGAUCGUCUUGCCAGUAUAGUGAACACGCUACUUGCUGUGGAGCGUUUUCCGAAUUAAAUGAUGGUCAUAGAGACAGCCCACCACUAAGCAAUCUCACACAAAUGCUUAGUUUGUCAGACUCGCCUGUUGGAAGUUUCACUAGCCAAGAGUCUAACUUUGAUAGUUUUGAUUCGCAAAUAGAAACAGACUUUGCGUCUAGUCUGUCUUCCUGUGCUGCGCAGGAAAACCUGAGUAUUGGAAAUUUUUAUGAUAGUCGUGAUGAAUCGCUGUGUGCAACCAUUCCGUGUGAGGUACUCUCACAAACUAGAAUCCCCAUUCGAAUCAACAAUAAAAAUCGAUCUUCUUAUAGACAUAAUCCAAUAGACUUCGAUCGCAGUGCUAAAGACUCCCCCACAAGUUUUCGAGAAGGUCGUCGUGCCUCAGAUAGUUUUUUUGCUGAAGGUGUAGUCCCAUUUUGUCAGAGACUUAGCCAGUCUUCUAAAGCUCAUGGGAUUGUUAGAUUAAACGAAGUUAAACAAGAAUACCAGCAACUUCAGAAUCUGUAUCCAAGUCAGUUGCCACAUGCUCAGAAAUUCCAUAACAAACUACAACACACACAAUACUGGUCAAUUACCAGAAGCUCAGUUCCAUCUUCAAAUAACCAUCUGCCAACCAAAAUUUAUAAACGUGUCAGUCUCCCAGAGAAUUUUACUGAUAUUUCAAAGUCUUCAGCUAUAACACAGAGAAUAGUUUGUGAAGAACCCCGGCUAGUGCCUCCCACAGAAUGUGGAGGAAUGCUAGUUGGUCAAAACAAACUUUUGCAAAAACAACUGCUUCAUCAGAGUCUUCAGCAGAAGAGACAAGUAUUACAAAAACAAUCGGCACUUUACCGCCGUCAGAUGGUGCGUCAAACAUCCUACACGCUUGCGCUGCCAGUCCCUUUGUUGCCUCCUCGUCCUGCAGAUCUUAUAAGUACUGCGUUACCUUUCCAGCCCAUUAGUGAAGAUAUAACUUCUCCAUCGGAUGAAGAAACUCACUGCCAGUUUUAUACACAAGAAGAGAAAUCCAAAGUUAUUGAAUAGAAUUACCCAAAACUGACCAUGGCGGGGAUUUGUCCUUUCAUUUCGUCAUUUCAGCCCUUCAGAUGAUAACGGUACUUUCAAGAAAGUGUAUCAGAAUGCAUUUAGGAAAGGAGAAACAAAAAACUAAUUUGUGUCUAGUCAAAUCAGGAUGAUUUCUUUUGGGGAGUCUGGUAAUUAAAGUCAGAGAGGACGUACUGAUUUCAGGUAUACCCUACAAUGGUUGUGUGGAUCAGAAAGACAUCUUAGUCAACAAGUUUACCAAGCAACAUCUGAGUGAGAUGAUGAGGCAUCACAUGAGCAUACAAGACAUCCAUAUCAUAACAGAGACAAGGUCAGUAGCAAUGAGGUUCGAAGUGGUCACAUUAGACGAAGAAUUGUCAUAAAAAAGAGGAAGCCAAUGGAAGCCAUGACUUCUCUAAGUAUGAUUCACUUUACCCAUAGUGGUGUCAAAUGAUGAGCCACAACCAGGACUACAAGGUG
rnacentral:misc_RNA from 1 species